rnacentral:rRNA from 1 species
GUUGUAUGGUUAAGUGACUAAGCGUACACGGUGGAUGCCUUGGCAGUCAGAGGCGAUGAAAGACGUAGUAACUUGCGAUAAGCCCAGAUUAGGUAGUAACAACCAUUUGAGUCUGGGAUUUCUGAAUGGGGAAACCCACUUACAUAAGUAAGUAUCGCUGCGUGAAUACAUAGCGCAGCGAGGCGAACCGGGGGAACUGAAACAUCUAAGUACCCCGAGGAAAAGAAAUCAACCGAGAUUCCGAAAGUAGCGGCGAGCGAAAUUGGACUAGCCCUUAAGCUUUACACGCGUUAGACGAACGGUCUGGAAAGUCCGACGAUACAGGGUGAUAGUCCCGUAGUUGACGACGUGUGUUCAGUGAAAUCGAGUAGGGCGGGACACGUGAUAUCCUGUCUGAAUAUGGGGGGACCAUCCUCCAAGGCUAAAUACUACUGACUGACCGAUAGUGAACCAGUACCGUGAGGGAAAGGCGAAAAGAACCCCUGUGAGGGGAGUGAAAUAGAACCUGAAACCGUGUACGUACAAGCAGUAGGAGCAGUUUC